UGGCAAAAACUAUAGCUGUUGGGUGAUUUGGGUGACUGCUACAGUCACGUGACUGUGGCCCAAUGCAGAACCGGAAGCAUUGCAAAAUUGCCUAAGUCCUACACCCCUGCAUGUUGGGGCCAGUGCCACGUGGCUGUGCGGUGUCCACAAAAGAGUUAAUCGGCGUAUGUUUGCAAUGAUGUGAUGUCACUGUUGGAGAUAACAGGACUGGAUCAGUGAACCAAAAGGUCUGCAGCAGUCCCGCAACAUGUUUCUGCCUCUCUCCCCCCCGCCCCAUGAUCAACCAAUGAGAGUCUAUUCUGAUGAUGUAACCAAUAUAAUUUGAUACCCUCCCCGGGGCACGUGGGGGUGGGGUCCUGGUUAGCUAGUUCCACCAAAACUUUUUCCCUCUAUAGUUUGCUUUUGCAUUUUUAAUUAAGUGCGGUUCAAUCAAUCCCUUGUAAACAGUUUUAUUUGCUUACUUUGAGGCCUUUGAUCCAAAUACCGCAUUGCACCAGGGCAUUUUGGGAAAGAAUAGAUGUGGCCAGAGCCCUGGGAACAUGUUGAUUUUGGGCAAGAUGAAUCAAGUCACGACUGUCGCGUGACUUCUAAAUGCUGCUUCAUAAUCAGAAACAGAAGGUUAGUUAUGGUAGUAAUUGCUCAUCUAAAUAUUGACUAGCCUGAUGCCGCUCAGCUUACGUCUUGUGUAUUGGGAGACAUCCAGAAAGGCUUUGGGAAUUGUUACAAUAAUAGGGUAAUAAUAAUAUGCAACUGUAAGAGAGUUUAUGGCUGCGUAAUGAAAAUAAAUGCUGAAAGGGCCCCUUAUGACCAUCUAAGUUGACCUCCAGCAUAACGACAGGCCAGCUGGCCUCACCUAGUCAUCACUGCUUCUGCGUGAGCUGCAGUAGACCUCUCAGAAAGAAAGCCAGCUUGCAAAGCCUUCAAGUAAAGGACUAUCCAAUACGUCUGAAAGAUCAGCCUCCCAGUGUCUGUGGCAAAAUAUUUCUUAUUCUCCAGCAGUUUGGUUCUCAAUGCCAAGCAAAGGUUGGUUUCAAAGGGUGAAGAGGAGGAUGGACUCUCCGAAUGCUGGAGGAAUAGUCUUGUUUUCUUUACCUGUAAAUCUGCAUCCUUCAACUUGCCAGCUGAGUGUCUGCUUCCUUCCACCGGCUUCCCAGCAGUGCCUGUCCAAGCGCUGGAAUUCCUCUCCUUUUGGUCUCAAGUUCAUGGUGCCAGAGCCACAAUCGUGUUACGGGCUUCAAAGGACCAAGUCCUAGGCAGGAAGCUGAUUUGGAAGGUGGCUGUGGCAUUCUGUACCUACCUUUACAAGGCAGUAAAGGGUGAGCAAAAUUUGCUUUGACAGGUAUAUUAAGUCUUGCAGCUUUUCAAAGGCUUCCUCUGAUCCAGCAUGACAUGCCUGGAUGCUGGUACUCGGAGCUGGCCUGUGCAGUUUGUCAGAAGGGCAGGAGCGGGCAGUGCAAACUGUGAGGAGUCACACUGCGAGCUUGUCUGGCUGUCUUGCAUGCUGAAUAAUGGCUAUAUGUGCAGUCCACCCGCAGCUACUGUUUUCCACAGCAUACAACCCAAAGGCUGCCCUUGAGGGUUAUCGUGAACCCCAGAGCCAGCGUCAAAGCGAUAGCUGGAGAAACCAUUUGACAAAUUGAAGCAGGCACAAAACAAUCCCCUUCCAAGAUCAAAGUAAGUGACACUGCUUUUCCUUUAACACCAGGCAGGAAAAUUAGCAGCUACACCCUCCCUUCAAUGGGAGCCAACCUCCAUGAAGAAGUUAAAAGUGGAAAGGUUCAGUGAUUGACACAUAGGGUCAGUGAAGUUACGCUGGGAACAAAUCUGUUGUUACUGGUGUUUCCCCGUUUUUCAGUUGAACCUCAGCUGAAUGCAAGGAGGCAUAAAACCUGAAAAAAAAUAAUGACAAUUCCAAACACCUAAAGGACUGCAUUUAUCUCCUGGCUUCUAACUCUGGAUUUUUUUUCUUUUAAAGCUAGCAAGGAAAGAUGCCAUAUUGAAUUGCUAGUGUGUAUUUUUUUUAAAUAGCUGAAUUGAAUCAUUGCUUUCUCAUGCAGGGCACCUGGGCUGUUUUGUAUUUUAAUUCCAUGUUUGUAAUUACUCCGGUUCAGGUUUUCUAUUUUACACCCUGGUGAUUUAGUCUCAGCCUCCUUUUAAUCUGUAUGCAGCAUGCAUGAGUGAUGUGUAGCCCAAGAGAUGUCUGUAUUUAAAAAUGUACUCUAAUAUACCCCUGUGUUAAGGGCAGAAGUAUGAAUUCCUCUCCUCAGCAGCCUGGGCAUUAGGGCUGCCUGUAGGGUGAUCAGACGUGUAUGUGUGUCUAUAUGUGUCUAUAUAUUGCAUCCUUACAAAGGAGCUGUUUCUAAUGAGCAGGAAUUCAUGGAAGCUUUUCUCUUCCCCCUGCAAAUUAGGUACAGUACCAUUCAGCUUACAAGCUUUGGGUGGGGAUGGGAAAGAGAAGUGUCCCAUGCAGUUUAAUUGGAUCCAUCUGCCAAGUUUUGCAAGAUUUUCUCAUUCCAUGGGACCUUUUCUAGAAGGGGUGUGAAGUGAUUAGGAUUAUGAAUGUGACCCUGUGACUCCUGCUAAAGAAAAGUAUUUUACUGAUUGAUAGCAGCUGAGCACUGUGCAUUUUCCCUAUUCUAAAGUGGCACCGACCAGUUUGAUGAUGGACUCCAGCUGGUAUAUGGAGUUGAUGGGAGACCUGGGAGGAGAACCCUGAUGUCCUAGCCCCAGUGUCCUGAUCUAACCAUUAGUUAACAUAGCUCUCCCAGAAAAGCCCCUUGGUGGAGAUGGAGCUUUUUUAGCAGCAAAUGGCUUUCUUGUGCCAGUGAAGUUAAAGCACCUCCUUGAACGAUACAAGCUGUGGCAAAAAAAAGUUUUCUGCCUGUAUUAGUCUUACCUGUAUGGGCUGCGAGAGGGUGCCUCACAGCUCUGCCAGCUUGAAUCCUGGAAAUACCAUCACAGAAAACAGAAAAGGGAGGAAUCUCGAGAGGUCCUCCAGUGCCCCACCCCCAGCCCGAGGCAAAAUCAACUAAGCCUCAGCUAUUUGGGACAGAUGUUUUUCUAUCUUGCUCUUAUUAAACCUCCAGUGAUGGAGAUUCCCCAGGUUCCCUAAGGAGUCUGUACAAUACUGAACAAUCCUUACCAAUGCAUGUCUAACUUGCAUCUUCUUUCUUACAGUCCAAGCCCAAGGUGACUGCGCUCAGUGCACAUGGGGAACAGACCGUAUGGACUCGGAAAAAGUUUUAUAACCUUUCUGUUUUCAGGGUCCCUUUCUUUGGGGCGGGUGGGGAGGGGAUUCCAAACUGCUAUUCAACAUAACUAAGCCAGGAAAACCUCAUCACGUGGGGCAGACUAUCACGUGGAGCAAUGUCACAGUAACUUAGCCCUGUUCCGUGGAAGAGUAGGCUACCACGGGUUAGCUAUCUCUUAUUGCAGGCUGAGAGUGGGCAGACAAACAGGUCAGCUGCUCUGCAGUAUGUCUUUACACCUUUUAACUUGCUGUAACUCAUUUGUCCAUAACCUGAGUCCUGCGUGAGCAAGCUGCUCCAGGAACUUCUGCUCGGAGUUUCUCCAGAUUUACGACAGCAUAUGUAAGAGCUGCUUCUGAUCUUUGUUUUCCCACUUGUUGAGUGGUGAACAGAUUUACAACAGUGUUUCAUUUGGCCCCUGAGAAGUUUGGAGAUUGUGUGGGGGUAAAUGAAGUGUGUGGCUGGUGGUUUAUUUUACAUCCUUCUGCUGCUUUGUUGUCCAAUCCUGUCCCCUUGCAACCUGCUGGGGGGUAAGGUACGUUCCUUUUGUACUCGCUGGGUGCAUCGACAUGAGACAAUUACUGUGAAGUUGACUAACUGGCUCCGCAGUAAAACGUCACCAUCUACAUAUGCAGUGCUACUAGGAUGGAGUUAACUAAUUAACCCUGUUGUAGGAUAGUACUGCCAGACACAAGUACUAUCCUACAGUAGAGUUAUUUACUUCACCGCAAGGCAGGUGUAGAUGCUGACGGGGCUGGCUGGGACAUGAGGGUGUGUCCCCACCUGAUCUUGUAUAGGCGCUCUCUGGUGGCCUUCGAGCGCUCACUCGGCUCCAGCUGAGGGGCGUGUCCCUGGGACCUAGGUGUUAGGUCGCGUUCCACUCUGAGGGAGACCCUGACACUCGUCUGCCAUGACUUGGUCUUCUUUUCUUCAGUUGUGAGGCUCCUUCUCAUGGAUUCUCAGGGACUGGGUACUACCCGCUGUAGGAGUUCUUGGGCAUCCACCUCCCCUACACCCCACCCAUGCGCCAGCCCUCAGGAUCUCUGGAUGUUGGGUUGCCGGCCUGUCCCCUGUGAUGUCCUCAUCUGUCUCUUUAUCACCUUGUCCGUCCCUGGAUGACUUGCCUGCACUGGAUGACCGCAAGGCGUGAGAUCGUCUUUAUCCUUGCACCUGAACUUCCUCUGAGGCUCCUGCAAAUCGAUCUCUCUUUAUGACCCUGGACCCAUGGAGAGUCUUUCCCUGGUCACAACUCUGAGUGCCCUCCAAAAUAAAGUGAAACAAAGAAAGAAAUAACUAAAGGAUCAGGGUGCGGGUCUCUGCCCACCCCAUUCACAGGUCCAACAUCUGUGGUCCUUCCAAUCCCUCGAUGCCGUCCCUCUUUGUCCCCGUUGUCCUGCCAAGCUGGGUGUGAGCCUUCUCAACGUAGCUGAGACCCCUCCAGAGGGUCUCUGUCCUGCCCCUUCCAGAGCUGCCCAUCUUCUUGAGAUGCAGCCUGGGGAAUAGCUUCACCCUCGGGCAUCCUUGCUGUCUCCCCAGCCAUUUCUCUGCCGCCGGCUUUUGAAUUCACUGGGCAGCGUUUUUUUCUGAUGUCAUCUGCCAGUGGUGCCGCUAGCCGGCAAUAAAAGCAGCUGAUGAACUGUGCCGGCAGCCCUUCUCAGCACAACUCUCUUUUUUCUGUGGGUGGUAAGUAUGCCCUCUUUUCUGGGCUUUCUCUUUUCCUGGGUGGGUUGACCCUGCCUCGGGUCCUGCCCUGGGACAGGGUGCUUCAGUGGGGAGGCUGCCUGCUGACUAGCCCUACACUGAAGCACCCUUGUGCCCCAGCCAGCCCCUUCACGGCAGGUUGAGCUGGGUAGGAGCAGCCCCAGGUUGGCAGGAUGACCCCUUGGGGCCCCUGCUAGGCAGAGCUGCUCCACUCCGGUUCACCCUGUCGCGUUCAAUACCGACAAGUGCAGGUACUGCACUUGGGCAGUAAGAACCAGCAGCAUACCUAUAGGCUGAGGAACUCCUUUCUCGAAAGCACAGUGGCAGAAAGAGAUCUUGGAGUCAUUAUUGAUUCCAAAAUGAACAUGGGCCGCCAAUGUGAAGACGCGGUCACUAAGGCCAACCGCAACUUGUCAUGCAUCCACAGAUGUAUCACAAGCAGGGCCAAGGAGGUGAUCCUCCCCCUCUAUGUGACACUGGUCAGGCCACAGCUGGAGUACUGCAUCCACUUUAGGAGAGAUGUGGCCAGCAUCAAGGGGAUCCAGAGGAGAGCCCCUCACAUGAUCCGGGGACAGCAGGGCAGAUCCUAUGAGGAGAGGCUGUGGGACCUGAACCUGUUCAGCCUUCACAAGAGAAGGCUGAGAGGGGACCUGGUGGCUGUCUAUAAACUUACUAGGGGGGACCCCUGUUCCCCUGACCACCUCCCAGAGUAACAAGGAAUAACUGCCGUAAGUUGUUUGAGAGUAGAUUCAGGCAGGACGUUAGAAGGCACUAUUUCACAGUCAGGGCAGCUAGGAUCUGGAACCAACUUCCAAGGGAAGUGGUGCUGGCUCCUACCUUGGGGGUCUUUACGAGGAGGCUUGACAGUUACCUAGCUGGGGUCAUAUGAGCCCAGUAUUCUCUCCUGCCCAGGGCAGGGGGUUGGACUUGAAGAUCUACUUAGGUCCCUCCAACCCUACAUCUAUGAACAUGCUGCAGUCCCAGACACAUAUGCAAACUUGGUGCCCAAGAACAAUAAACUCCGGCGUGAACUGCACCAGAGUCUAUUCGGCUGCAUUAAGUGCACAUGUAGAUGUGCCCACUGAAUGCCAAAUCGGUGCUGAUUACACUACUCUUCCCUAGAGAGUGGUAGUUCACUGCAUUAGCCUGAAGUUUGGCACAAAAAGGGGGUGGGGUGGCACCUUAUAAACUAACUCAUUCAGAGGCACGAGCUUUCAGAGGCUGCAGCCUACUUCGUCAGAUGCUAUGAAUGGACUUGCUACUCUGCCAUAUCGGCCUGUUCACGGCCACGUAAAAAUGCAUGUUGUGGCUUAGAGACAUACAUGAGCAUUUGCACCCAGCACUUUAUCCACUACUGAAGUGUGGCCACCUCUGGGGUGAAGCAUGGCAGUCGUUCAGCAGCAUGCCGCAAUAGUGACACUGUUCAGGACGGGAAGCAAAGGCUAUUGUACCUCUCAAGAACUAGAGGGGGAAAAGAAGUGCUGCAGACAGCACGGGAUUUGGCUGCUGUGCUGGUAGCCCAGACUACCAAGAGCUGACUUUUAAAAAGACCUUUUUAAAUAGGAAACAUUUUUUUUUAAUUGCAUGAAAUAAAACUUGGACGCCAACAUGUGCAGCUGUGGGAAAAAAAAUGUUUCUCUUUUGUGUCUUUGGCUAUGAUUCACCUCGCUCAUUAUAAAUGUUAAGUAGUAUUUUUUUUGUCUGGUUCUACUCAUCUGACACAGGAAAUUGCACCCUGGAAAUGUGAACUCUGCACUGUCUCGCUCCCACUGUAUUGGUUAAUGCCUGUAGAGGGAAAAGGGUAAUUCCCUCAUUUGGCAAAGCAAUGUAUAGCAAAGUGCUUCAACACCUUUUACUCCCCUCUGUAGGGAACAGAAAUAUAUUUAGCUGCUGAAGCAUCUUCCCUGCUAACCUUCUCUCUCCCCAUUUUUUCCCCCCAUGCACUUUUGGCCUCAACUGAAACCACUUUAAAUUCUGCUUACAUUGGAAGUCUCUGGGUAAAGUGCUCGCUGCGCUCCAGCUUACAGUACCCACACGGAGCAUUUGAGACAUUUAUCCUAAUCAAUAUUCUGGCAGUUUGAGAUCACUAACGAACAUGGUUGAUGUCAUCUGAGCCAGGCCUCCCAAAUACUCUGGAACCUGUAUAUUAAUCUUCACGUAAUUGCCCACAGGCACCUGCUGACCGACAUGGCCCUGCAGAACUUUAGUGCCUUUCCUGCUAAGGGAAUCAUCAGCAUCCUUCUCUGGGCUGGUUCAAGCAUCCCUUUCCUCAGCUGUAAUGGCCCCAGGAGACAUCAACCAAGGCUGAGGUUCUGGCCCACUGACUUCACUGGGGAACCUCUCCUUUUGCUCUGGUUAGGAUCAAACAUGCAGACAGCAACAUUAACUUCUUCGAUAUAUGGGGGUCAAUCCUUGUCCCAUGGGACAGCCUUUGGCUAUUGACUCUAGUAGAAUCCGGAUGCAAUCCAAGGUGUUCAGAUUCAGUUGUCUCUUGCUGGAAAACUAAGGCUACCUGAACUGCAAAGAACAUAUUAACGUGUCUUUUGGGUUUUUUUUAAAAGAGCCCUCUAAAAUAUGCAAGCAAUUUGCUUCAAUUUCUAGCUUCAUGCACUAAACAUCAUUGAAAUCUAUCCCCAGUAGGGGCGCCCUCUUUACGAUCAGUACUGGAGUGGUUAACAUUUCUAUGGAAGCCAUGAUGAAACUGCAUAUUAAAUAACAGAAGUGAUAGUUCGGAGUGUGCAUUUAUUUGGAAGAGAUCACAGCUUGUGGGGCAGACAUAAACCGUAAGCCCUGUGAGGCAGGUAGUGAAAACGCGUCACCGUUUUUCAUCUUCAGCCAAAACACGGAGCAGAACUGACGGGAUUUUUUCCAGUCUGUGGACAAUGAAAGGAGAAUAUUUUUCCUUCACGUUCCCACUUGAGGACUGACAUUCUUCCUGGCAGUUAACAGAGUUAUAUGUGACUUGCUGUCCUGCCUUGAAGUCCUACUCUUAGAAGUCGGUGAAAGAAGGGCACAUUGAUAUGAUGGAAGACGAUCGGGCCGAGUAUGAAAUCCACAUCUGCUUCUUUCACAACGUCCUCAAAAUGACCGUUCCUUAGAAGAGGGCUGCAUGCAAAGAUUGGCUAAGGCAGAUGAAGGAUUUGUGCUGACAGCGUAUUGCACAGAUCAUCAGCAAGUGAGAACAGGAGGAAUGGACUCACCACUUGCAAGACUGUUUUAGUGACUAGUUCUCGAAUCCUUCCCCGGGGUAUCACUCCUGCUGUCCAAUGUGGCGACGUCGGUGAAUUCUUUGCCAUUUCUUUGUCACUGCCAGCUGUUUGUGCAGAGGAUAAAAGCUUGGCCUUCCAAGGGCUUUGUAGACAUGGCAAAGUUUUAUAGCAAUCCUGAGACCAUCUGCAUAGCAAGACUUCCUAGCUGUCACCGAGCUGUACAAGCGGGAACUACCUUGUAGAUCAGGACUAGAACGUGUAACCUCCUGCUCCAGAGCGCCUUGAGCUAAACGAGAAUUUUGCCUUUGUUGCCGAGUUGUGAGAGGCAUUGAUUUUUGGUUCACUGACGGAGACAAGCAAAUUCACUUUGUGUUGACCUGGAACAUUUCUUUCAACUCAAAACAAAAUAUUUUGUGCUGUUUCUAGGGGCUUAUGAUUUUUUUAACCUUUUCUCAUUGUUCCAUUUAGGCAAGUUUUGAAAUGAAACCUCAUUUCAAAACAGCAAGUUGAAAACGUUGCGUCUUGAAAACUACUUCAACUUCUUCAAAUGAUUUGGUGGGGCAAAAGCUAUUCAUCAAAUCCAGGAGUUGUGAUGUACCUCCGAGUGCAUGUUUUGUGGAAAUUAAACCAUUCAUCUGCAAAAUCAUAAUCCUACUUAGCUCUUCUUGUAGGGCCGUCUUGCAGCUUAUUUCUGAACCCAGGCAGAUGAGAGCAAUGCUACAUAUGCCCACUACUUAAUUCAUUGCAACAUAGGUAUUUUCAGUUGACAUAAGGGAGCAAACUGCAGCACAAAUGUUAAGAGAGCACGCACAGCCAGAGCUGAAGAAAGGAUCAGAAGGGAGGAAUCCCUGCUUCUCAAUCCCAAGUUAAAACCAGAGCUUCGUCCACCUCUACUUUUAUCAUGCAAAAUUGGUCGAUGCCAACUUCAGCUAAGCAGGUUUGAUUUCCGUAUUAGGAUUUCAAAAUUCAUGUUCCCAUGAGCUGUAUUUCAGUUCAGCUUUUUUUUUCCUGCAUAACACUGGAGAAGUGGUAUCGCUGAGUUUGGGAAAGAGUUCCAGAAAGCAGCUCCUCUUUCUUCACAGAUACCUCCUGUAGCAAGCUGUAAGGCACAGGUGGCAUAAGACAGAAACGGCUGGAUUGCAGUGCGGCGCCUGUUCCUCACGGUACAUGGGAGAUGAUGCAUGCAUUGCCCAAGGGAUAUCAGAUGUUAUGUUUGGGACAAAAACUUCAGAGCUGGCUAGGAAGUCUGGAUGCUUUGCUUGAGAUACCUUGAACCUGAUUUUCAGAGGUGCUGAGUAUCCUACUUCCCCUGCAACUUCAGUCUGUCUGACCCCCAAAAGUUGGAUUGAGUGCAGCUCAAAACACCCAAAAAUGUUUGCCUCCAGUUUCACUAGUCGUUUCCAAAUAUGUUGACAGUAGGAAUGAAGAAACAGGCAGGCUGCCGUGUGGCUGAACUAGUACAAGGAGAAGGAAAGAGUGCCGUUUUGACGGAUUUCCUCCACACAAUUCCCCCUGCUGCAUAUCAGGUUUUGCUUGUUUUUUGUUCUUCUGUUUCCUCUCGCAGGGGUUGUUUGAGCCGUUGACACAAGAUAACCUUAUCAUAUUUGCACCAGGCCCCUCGUAAGACAUCUUUUUUUCUUCAUUUCUACAAAAUUGUAGUUUGUAAGUGCUACGGGUGGGGAUUUGACAGUGUGCAAGUGUCUGUCUGUUUUGCUGGCAGACAAGCGCCACUUGAAUUCUUCCCGAGACUUGUAUACCCCCAGACUGGCGUCUAAACUCAGAUUACCAGUAUCUUCUAGAGAGUGAAAAGCAAGCCAACAGGCUCUUCAAGUCAGAGAUUCUGGCCCUCAGUGUACUUCCUUCUGCUCUGUGCAGUCUGCAAGUUUUCAGGCAGGUCCUCAGAAACGAAGUUUCAUUUGGUUUGCAUGAACUGAAGCUCUGGGCCACUGGUUUUCCCCCGUCUCCACACACAGCACCGCCUGUUUUUUCUCCAUUUGGUUGGUUUUUAUUUCAGAUUAAGAAAAGCAACAGCUAGCAACCAAGUGCAAGCGAGGGAGAGAAAACACCAGCAAUUCAGUCCAUAUUACACGUUAUCUGAGCUGAUCUCAAAUCCCACCUCGCCGCUGCCCUUCGAGACAGGCAAAAUGCUUCAGAAAUGUAAAGGCACCACACAGAGAGAAAACCAAGUUGCAGCAGUGCUUUAGCUCUGUGAAUGCAAUGAAUGAUCAGCCUAUUUGUUUUGAGGGACAGCUGUUCAGCUGGAAAGCUGCAUCGUGGCUCUGCAUGCUAACUGCAUUCGGUAACUUAGCUGACAUGACUAGGUGUCCUCCUUGCCAAAGUUACUGCACCAGAUAUCCAUCCAGAUGCCUCCUGCACUCCCAGCCACAAAAGGCUAUGGGAGCCUUGGGGUCACGCUUCUUUCUCAGAGACUGUAGGUGAUCUCAGUGUGGUGCAAGGUUUGGGAUAGGAUUUCAACAUUCACCAGCUGGUCCAAACAUGGAGAUUUCUUUAUCAGAUCCCCAGCCUGAUCAAAUUAUGGACUCGUGUUAAGGUAACCUUGGAUGGAUGGGGAUACGUAUUCCCUCUAUAACUAGAGCCCCUUGCAUGGGGAAGGUAGGGAGGUAGGGUACAGUCCCUUCUGAAAAAUUCCCCUUGGAAAAAACAGCACAAACUGGGAAGAGCCAGCAGCCAUCCAGCACAGCGGGAGCCCUCCUUACCCAGCAGGCACUCAUCUGCUCAUAGGAUCAGGCCGCAAAAAGCUGAGCAGCAAAUUAGGCUAAGUGCCAGGGUUCUGUGUCAGAAAUCUUUUAAUGAUGUGCUGAAAGAUGGCACCUUCUUCUGUCAGCUGUGAGGCUUGUUCUUUUGGAGGCAAAGGACCUUUUUAAACAAGAAGUAGCAAUCCUACCAGAUUUCAGUUGUCACGAUCCAUCCUCUGUAACAGAUAGCAGCAAAGCAUUAGGCAUCUGGUUUACGGAGCCUGGUUACCCUGCUUUAAGUAUACACUUAGAUGUAGUAUCCCUGCCAUCCACAUGAAACAGGACUGUUCUUUACAGUAGCAACCACAGCACAAUAAAAUCCGUCUGCCAGCUCCACAGCGCUCUUAUACCAUCUGCCUUAUAGCCUCUUCUUGCUAUUGUGUUUGGAAAUCAUAGAGUUGAUGCUUCUGGGUGGGGGGUUGUUGGCUACAAACCAGAAUGAUGCUGCAGCAUAAGAGACAGAUCCCAACUGCUCCUGCAGCGAGGACUGGGGUGUUUUCCGGAACGAGAGAGAAAUUCACUUGUCUUUUAAAGAGGGGCUGGAGGCUUUACAAAUAAAUGUAAUUAUCUCAGCAAACUAUUUUGCCUCGAGUACUAUCCAUCACGCCGGAGUUUUCCUUCUCCUAUAACUGUAGAUAUUACCUUCUGUUUUUCUCAUGGCCAUAAAAAGGUAAUUCUCUUCAAAUGCUUUCUUCCAGUCCUGCUAAAAAUAAGGAUCACCCUACCACUGCACCCCCUCUUACAGUAAUUAUGCUUCUGCCUUAUACCUCUAUCAAUGAUCAUUGCUCAGGUUUACAUGGAUUAGGCCCCGACGGAAUGACAGCUGUGUGCAGAGGCUGGAUUCCCUGUGUUGUUACAUGUCCUAAAUUGUUUUAGAAAUGUAAUUAAACAUUUAUCUUGACGAGAAUGCCCUGUCUUUAAAAGAGAGGAUAUCUUAUUUGAACCCAAUUAAAAAAUAAACCGUCAGCUUUUAAAUA